UGGGGAAUAUUGGGCAAUGGGCGCAAGCCUGACCCAGCAACGCCGCGUGAAGGAAGAAGGCUUUCGGGUUGUAAACUUCUUUUCUCAGGGACGAAGCAAGUGACGGUACCUGAGGAAUAAGCCACGGCUAACUACGUGCCAGCAGCCGCGGUAAUACGUAGGUGGCAAGCGUUAUCCGGAUUUACUGGGUGUAAAGGGCGUGUAGGCGGGAAAGCAAGUCAGAUGUGAAAACCAUGGGCUCAACCUGUGGCCUGCAUUUGAAACUGUUUUUCUUGAGUACUGGAGAGGCAGACGGAAUUCCUAGUGUAGCGGUGAAAUGCGUAGAUAUUAGGAGGAACACCAGUGGCGAAGGCGGUCUGCUGGACAGCAACUGACGCUGAGGCGCGAAAGCGUGGGGAGCAAACAGG
rnacentral:rRNA from 1 species